ACAUUGGUGGUUCAGCGGUAGAAUUCUCUCCUUCCACGUGGGAGACCCAGGUUGGAAUCCCAGCCAAUGCG
rnacentral:tRNA from 1 species